UACGUAGGGGGCGAGCGUUGUCCGGAAUUAUUGGGCGUAAAGAGCUCGUAGGCGGCUUGUCGCGUCGGAUGUGAAAGCCCGGGGCUUAACUCCGGGUCUGCAUUCGAUACGGGCAGGCUAGAGUGUGGUAGGGGAGAUCGGAAUUCCUGGUGUAGCGGUGAAAUGCGCAGAUAUCAGGAGGAACACCGGUGGCGAAGGCGGAUCUCUGGGCCAUUACUGACGCUGAGGAGCGAAAGCGUGGGGAGCGAACAGG
rnacentral:rRNA from 1 species